ACUAUUUUGUCAGAUAAUAUGUACUAGACUUAGGAUCUAGCUAAAUAGAAUUAGUUUCUAUAAAUAGUAAGAUAGUUUUGCCUAAUUGUUUU
rnacentral:tRNA from 1 species